rnacentral:rRNA from 1 species
GGGUUGGGAGACUGGCUUCUCUUGAGAGCGGCGGACGGGUGAGUAAUGCCUAGGAAUCUGCCUAGUGGUGGGGGAUAACGUCCGGAAACGGACGCGUAAUACCGCGUACGUCCUACGGGAGAAAGCGGGGGAUCUUCGGACCUCGCGCCAUUAGAUGAGCCUAGGUCGGAUUAGCUAGUUGGUGAGGUAAUGGCUCACCAAGGCGACGAUCCGUAACUGGUCUGAGAGGAUGAUCAGUCACACUGGAACUGAGACACGGUCCAGACUCCUACGGGAGGCAGCAGUGGGGAAUAUUGGACAAUGGGCGAAAGCCUGAUCCAGCCAUGCCGCGUGUGUGAAGAAGGUCUUCGGAUUGUAAAGCACUUUAAGUUGGGAGGAAGGGCAGUAAGUUAAUACCUUGCUGUUUUGACGUUACCGACAGAAUAAGCACCGGCUAACUUCGUGCCAGCAGCCGCGGUAAUACGAAGGGUGCAAGCGUUAAUCGGAAUUACUGGGCGUAAAGCGCGCGUAGGUGGUUCGUUAAGUUGGAUGUGAAAGCCCCGGGCUCAACCUGGGAACUGCAUCCAAAACUGGCGAGCUAGAGUACGGUAGAGGGUAGUGGAAUUUCCUGUGUAGCGGUGAAAUGCGUAGAUAUAGGAAGGAACACCAGUGGCGAAGGCGACUACCUGGACUGAUACUGACACUGAGGUGCGAAAGCGUGGGGAGCAAACAGGAUUAGAUACCCUGGUAGUCCACGCCGUACACGAUGUCAACUAGCCGUUGGAAUCCUUGAGAUUUUAGUGGCGCAGCUAACGCAUUAAGUUUGACCGCCCUGGGGGAGUACGGCCGCAAAGGUUAAAACUCAAUGAAAUUGACAGGGGACCCGCACAGGCCGUUGGGAGCAUGCUGUGAAUUUCGUAAGUCAAUCGUUGCUCGUACACCG